UCUGGGGAUUGUGGUUUCCGAACGGGUCGAGACUGACACCUGAAGGACGCGGCUUAGCCGCUUAGCCCCUAGCUGGUCCUGCGGGGCUUACCGACGUCACCUGGGCAGAGGUGGAAGACCGGAGGUGAUCGGGAAAUUUUUGCUGGCAGUUGGUGCCAGGCCAUACCCGAAAGCCAACCCUAACAUAAAUAAACCCAGAGCCCUUCCUCCUCCAACUUCAAAAGCCGCUUUUGCUCCCAGGUGUUAUUGAGAACCGGCUCACGGGUCAGCUCUGAGCUAGGCGCUGUGAGAACGCUUAAUAAGACCGUGUCUUUUCAGGAAGUCUACAGGCGAGAUACAAACUGAGAAACUUAAAGGGUGUGUGUGCGGGGCAAAUCGUAGGGUACCAGGAGACCCAAACCCCAAACUUUGGGGCUCGUCUGUUGGUGACCCUUAAUUCUUCCACCUUUUCUGAUGCUGUGGUUGUGCUGACCUUUGUUAAGCCGCUCCCACACUAACUCUAGGCUGACCUUCUGCUAUUUGUUUUCACUUCAAGAUUCCCCUUUUGAUGCUUAUUUUAUCCUGAUACCGCCCGAGUGCCGAGAGUGGAGGUGGACGACGUGAUUUGCAUCUGCAAAAUGCAGAAGAUUUGGGACCCCUCUUGGAACCUCUUCCAUCCCUAGAUUUCCUGAUAGAUGAUGCUGAAGAGACAUUUCUUCUCCACAUGGAAGGAGUAAGAUGAAGAGGAAUAGAGAAAAGAAUGAACCUUAGUAACGGAAGAUGGAAGCCCAAGAUGGAGUGAUAGAAUAUGAAAAAUCCCAGAGCUGCUCCAGGAGAACCACCACCUGCACCAUCAUCUUCCUGGUAUGGUCUUUGCACUGUAAAACAGAUACCCCACUACAGGAUGAAGAUGGGAGUUUCCUCUGGAGACAGAAGAGAAAAAGGAACCAGAUUCAAAAUUAUAGGCUCAAAGGUCAAACAUGAGAAGCCUCAGUAAUUUUACACACACACGUGCACAGGCACGCACACAC